rnacentral:rRNA from 1 species
GUAGUCAUAUGCUUGUCUCAAAGAUUAAGCCAUGCAUGUCUAAGUAUAAGCAAUUUGUACGGUGAAACUGCGAAUGGCUCCUUAAAUCAGUUAUCGUUUAUUUGAUAGUACCUUGCUACAUGGAUACCUGUGGUAAUUCUAGAGCUAAUACAUGCUAAAAACUCCAACUUCGGAAGGAGUGUAUUUAUUAGAUAAAAAACCAAUGCCCUUCGGGGCUCCUUGGUGAAUCAUAAUAACUUAACGAAUCGCAUGGCCUUGCGCCGGCGAUGGUUCAUUCAAAUUCAUUCAAAUUUCUGCCCUAUCGAUGGUAGGAUAGUGGCCUACCAUGGUGGCAACGGGUAACGGGGAAU